GAUUCGAUGGCCUAGUGGUUAGAGCGUCCACCUCGGAUGUGAGAUGUCGUGGGCUCGAUCCACGUUCGAGUCA